GAGCACGUAGGUGGGUUUGUAAGUCAGACGUGAAAGCCUUCUGUUCAACGGAAGAAUUGCAUCUGAAACUACAAACCUUGAGUGUAGGAGGGGAGAAUGGAACUUCUGGUGGAGCGGUGAAAUGCGUAGAUAUCAGAAGGAACGCCGGCGGCAAAAGCGAUUCUCUGGCCUAUUACUGACACUCAGUGUGCGAAAGCUAGGGGGAGCAAACGGGAUUAGAUACCCCGGUAGUCCUAGCCGUAAACGAUGGGCACUAAGUAGAAGGGGUUUU
rnacentral:rRNA from 1 species